AUUGAACGCUGGCGGAAUGCUUUACACAUGCAAGUCGAACGGCAGCACGGACUUCGGUCUGGUGGCGAGUGGCGAACGGGUGAGUAAUGUAUCGGAACGUGCCCAGUCGGGGGGAUAACGUAGUGAAAAUUACGCUAAUACCGCAUACGAUCUAUGGAUGAAAGCGGGGGAUCGCAAGACCUCGCGCGAUUGGAGCGGCCGAUUUCAGAUUAGGUAGUUGGCGGGGUAAAGGCCCACCAAGCCAACGAUCUGUAGCUGGUCGGAGAGGACGACCAGCCACACUGGAACUGGAACACGGUCCAAACUCCUACGGGAGGCAGCAGUGGGGAAUUUUGGACAAUGGGCGAAAGCCUGAUCCAGCCAUUCCGCGUGCAGGAUGAAGGCCCUCGGGUUGUAAACUGCUUUUGUACAGAACGAAAAGGUUUCUACUAAUACUAGGAGCUCAUGACGGUACUGUAAGAAUAAGCACCGGCUAACUACGUGCCAGCCGCCGCAGUAA
rnacentral:rRNA from 1 species